rnacentral:rRNA from 1 species
CCCUUAGACGUUCUGGGCCGCAUGCGCGCUACACUGACCAGUGCAACAAGCAUCCGUCCUUGGCCGACAGGCUCGGGCAAUCUUUGAACGCUGGUCGUGAUGGGGAUAGACUUUUGCAAUUUUUGGUCUUCAACGAGGAAUUCCUAGUAAACGCAAGUCAUCAACUUGCAUUGAUUACGUCCCUGCCCUUUGUACACACCGCCCGUCGCACCUACCGAUUGAAUGGUCCGGUGAAGCCUCCGGAUUGGCGCGCACCUCGGUGCCGCCGAGAAGUUGGCUAAACCUUACCAUUUAGAGGAAGGUGAAGUCGUAACA